GGCCCCGAGAAGCUGAGUGGUCUAAAGCGCUUUCCGUUACGGAUCACUGCCUUCUCACCUCGGUCUGCCUGAGUUCGAGUCUCGGAUUUGGCCA